rnacentral:lncRNA from 1 species
UAUUUAGUCUGAGCUUUCACAAUUCCAGGCUCUUGCCAGUCUCAGGAUUUUUCUCGUGAAUGAACCAGGAAGGUCCAAGGUUUUGAACUCCUGAGCUCAAGUGAUCCUCCUGCCUCAGCCUCCAUAGUCGCUGGGACUACAGACAUGUGGGCUUAAAGCCAUCCCUCACUGAUCCCUGCUAGCAGAUGAAUAUAUCGGAAGGUGAUGAGUACGAAGGAGCUUGGCUGCCAGCCAGGCGGUGUCGGAAAAGGAUGGGAAUUAUGUUGUUGUGAACCUAAAGCUGCUCCAGGAAAGUCUAUCGAAAAGUUAAAAACAUUUAAAUAAACAAAUAAAAGGAUGAGAAUGUUGAAAUGCUAAAAGAUCAGUGGUGUGUGGGAUUCUUCGAGCCCUGCAGUUUCAACACAUUUGAGGUGGAAGGGCCAAGAUCGGCCUGCCAUAGCCCUUUGUUUA